rnacentral:rRNA from 1 species
UACGAAGGGGGCUAGCGUUGUUCGGAAUUACUGGGCGUAAAGCGCGCGCAGGCGGUCUUCCAAGUCAGUGGUGAAAGCCCGGAGCUCAACUCCGGAACUGCCAUUGAAACUGUUAGACUUGAGGACGAGAGAGGUGAGUGGAAUUCCCAGUGUAGAGGUGAAAUUCGUAGAUAUUCGCAAGAACACCAGUGGCGAAGGCGGCUCACUGGCCCGGUACUGACGCUGAGGUGCGAAAGCGUGGGGAGCAAACAGG